CACUGAGCUGUGUGUUUUGGGCCCCUCUGAAGGGCCGUUCCUGGAGAAAGACCAGGUUUUGAAAUACUUCACCCCUUGUUUGCUCUUGAAACCUUGUUGGUGCCCAGGUUUCUCAAGGCCUGUGUUCCAGUGUUCCAGGAGGCUCUGUGUGGGGGACACAUUCAGGCCCCAGCUGGGACGUACCACCCUCUCCUCCCUGACUGGACGGACCUGUGAGAGCCAUCCAGGGCCCUGUACCCAGAAGUCCAGGCCUAGCAUGGAGAAACCAUGAACACAGACAAGAUUCCCUGUUGGCCUGGAGACUUCCCUCUAGGCUAGGCUAGGCUGGCCAGCAAGUGCCAGGAAUCUCCUUGUCUCCACAUCAGAGCUGAGAUUGCAGCCUGGCUCCCCACUGGAAAGGAAGUCCCCAGAAGAGACAGUGUCCUAUUUGUCUACUUCCCAGGACCACAAGCGAGUGUGCAGCCAGCAAACAUGUGGAAUGAAAUUGAUCUGGGAACUCUGGGAACUGUGGUCUGGGUCUGAGUCCUACGAUGCACUCAACACCUGCCAUUGUACUUUUUCUUUACAUGGGACCGUCUGCUUCAUCACCCACUCUGAAAAGUGUGUGAACUCUCUAGGCAUCUGUGUGUGUGUGUGUGUGUGUGUGUGUGUGUGUGUGUGUGUAAAAGAUAAACUUGGAGCUGAUGCUAUAGAUGUUGGUAUAGUAUUGAACCUUGAGUUCCAACCCUUGUACCAUGUAAACUAGGCACAAUAGUACAUGCCUAUCACUCCAACAUCACGGGGUUUGUGGGUAAGGGCGUACGGAGAUAGGAGAGUCCGGUGAGCAUGUUGUGGGGGAGAGUAUGUACAUGUGUGUACUGGUGCUUUUGCAUAUGUUUCUGCACAUGUAUAGAGGCCAGAUGUCAACAUCAAGUCUUACUUGAUCACUCACUCCCAUAUUUUUUAAACACGUUUUCAAAUGUUUUGUGUAUGUGUACACAUACAUACGCACAUAUGUUUGAUUUUACUCAUUCUUUAAAUUAAAAGUGUUUCAACUUAGCAUUUAAGGUCUUAGAUAUCAUGACACUUUUGACCAAAGCAUGUUUGUGUGAUUCUUCCUCAUUGACCUAACUCCUUCUACCCUUCAUCCUCCACGUGAAUCUGCCUGCCCACCUCUCUGUUCCUCUUUCAUGUCCCAUAUGCCAUUUUUCUCCCCCUUGGAUGUCUUUUGUCAUCACUGGAAAGGAUAGCAUUAAACAGAGUGACCCAAAUUCAGAAAGACAAAACACACACACACAGACCACAUUCUCUCUCAUGUGGAACUUCACCUGUAAAGUCUUUAUAAACAGGUACAAAGCCUACAGGAACUUGGGAGGAGCUCAAAGGAGGGUAGAAAUGUACACUGGUUGACAGUUUUUGUUUAUUCUGUUUUUUUGUUUUCUUUUAAACAGUACUUCUUACACUUGACAGGCCCUCUGAGUCAGGUGGUAUACGUCACAAACACCCAGAUGCUGUGACUGGGGACCCUGAAGUAACGUGGCUGGGGUAAAGCCCGGGAUCAACAGUUUCCAGAAGGUGUCUAAGGCACAGUCAGGACUGAACUUGCUCCUCUGUGAAGCAGGUGCUGGGACGGACCCAGGCUGCUCAGAGCUGACCUGUGGGUGGUAUGACAUGAGCCACAUUGAGAGUGUCCUGAAAAUCUGCGACACUCCUCAGGGUACAAAUGUGCCUUCCUCUAGGCCAGCCAUCUGUGAACUGAGACCAGCAUGCUGCUCAAUUCAGCCUUGGUCUCCAGUUAGGCUGCAAGGCUGGGACAGGCCAUGUGGAGGCCGGCUAACUUCCCAGCCCGGGGGCAAGAACUUACCAUCUAAGCAUUUUACAUUAUUCAUCACUAUACCACAGCUGAGCAGACCUGGCAGACAGAUAACACAGAGGGUGAACUCAGCCACCACGGAAAGAGCAGGACGGCAGACACUCUGGGCCUGAGCCCUACUUCACUUACGUCAUGAUCACCACAGUCCCCAGGUGACACCUGCAUCUUCAGGAGCCUCACUACUGAAGAACAUGAAGGCCGGGAACAGCCUGAGCCACCUGUCCACGUUACCUGAAUAACAAGUGCUGGAGCUACCUGUGAGCACAGCCAGCUGGAUUCCAGGGCCUUCAGGCUUGGCCUCAGGGAGGACCGCUGGGCCUUAUUCCAAGUACAGAUGGCGCUUCAGCCAUCUUGGGCUCCUGGACCCCACUCUAAAGACGAGAGGGGGGAAACCUGGUGUCAGCUUUUUCUGGUUCCUGAUUCUGGUGUUCCUGAAGCUAGACUUAACUGCCCCUUCAAAAUGCAACAGAGGCCAGAUUUGGGCCAGGUCUUCUGCAGAGUCACUUUGGCACUUAAUUGCUUAUUAUUUAAUUGCUUUAUUGGGUAGUAAAAAAUAAAGUGAUCUACUGCAAAGUUAUUAGCAAAUUCCCGUUUUAAGGGAAUAAUUACUGAAUUCUCCCUGUCUGGGUUGAGUAAUUCCCUCCAAGAUGCUCAGGGACACUAAACAU